rnacentral:lncRNA from 1 species
CUGGGACUUGGACACUUGGUAGUCGAAUACAGUCCAUACGUAUGGGUGAAGACCCAUGGAAGCCCAUGUCUAUGCAAACCCAUCUACACCCAUGGGUAUCAACCAUUUUGACCCGCAAUACAAAAUAAACUCACUCAACCCAUUCACAAUUAAACCCAACACAACCCACCAAAACAAACUCAUUUCUUAAACCUACCUAAAAUAUUGCAGACCUACAUACGGAUGGGUAAGACCCAUGGAUGCCCAUGUCUAUACAAACUCAUCUACACCCAUGGGUAUCAACCAUUUUGACCCGCUAUUCAAAAUAAACCCACCCAAUCCAACCCGUUCAUAAUUAAAACCCAUCACAACCCACCAAAACAAAUCAAUUUCUUAAACCCACCUAAAAUA